GACCAGACUCCUACGGGAGGCAGCAGUGAGGAAUAUUGGUCAAUGGGCUUACGCCUGAACCAGCCAAGUCGCGUGAGGGAAGACUGCCCUAUGGGUUGUAAACCUCUUUUGUCAGGGAGCAAUUGGCGCUACGUGUAGCGUUAUCGAGAGUACCUGAAGAAAAAGCAUCGGCUAACUCCGUGCCAGCAGCCGCGGUAAUACGGAGGAUGCGAGCGUUAAUCGGAAUUACUGGGCGUAAAGCGCUCGUAGGCGGUAUGUCAAGUCAAGGGUGAAAUCCCCGCGCUCAACGUGGGAACUGCCUUUGAAACUGGCAAACUGGAGUGUGUGAGAGGAUAGUGGAAUUCCAGGUGUAGGAGUGAAAUCCGUAGAUAUCUGGAGGAACAUCAGUGGCGAAGGCGGUCUGCUGGACAGCAACUGACGCUGAGGCGCGAAAGCGUGGGGAGCAAACAGGAUUAGAUACCCUAGUA
rnacentral:rRNA from 1 species